rnacentral:rRNA from 1 species
GACGAACGCUGGCGGCGUGCUUAACACAUGCAAGUCGAGCGGCGCGGCGAACGGGUGAGUAACGCGUGAGUAACUGCCCCCCUCUCUGGGUUAACAGUUGGAAACGGCUGCUAAUACCGGAUAGUGGGGGAUGACUCGCGUCCUAUCAGCUUGUUGGUGGGGUAGGGGCCCACCAAGGCGACGACGGGUCGCCGGCCUGAGAGGGCGCCCGGCCACAAUAGGCUAGGAUAGGGACCAAACGCGAACGGGAGGCAGCAGUGGGGAAUAUUGCACAGUAGGGGAAAGCCAGAGGCAGAAGCGCCGGGUGCGGGAUGCCGGCCUUCGGGUUGUAAACCGGUUUCAGCCAUGACGCGGUAGUGGCAGAAGAAGCACCGGCUAACUACGUGCCAGCCGCCGCGGUAAUAC